rnacentral:rRNA from 1 species
CAGCCGCCGCGGUAAUACAGAGGAUGCAAGCGUUAUCCGGAAUGAUUGGGCGUAAAGCGUCUGUAGGUGGCUUUUCAAGUCCGCCGUCAAAUCCCAGGGCUCAACCCUGGACAGGCGGUGGAAACUACCAAGCUGGAGUACGGAAGAGGCGAGUGGAAUUCCUGGUGUAGCGGUGGAAUGCGCAGAUAUCAGGAGGAACACCAAUAGCGAAGGCAGCUCGCUGGGACGUUACUGACACUAAGGCGCGAAAGCGUGGGGAGCGAACAGGAUUAGAUACCCCUGUAGUCCCUGUCUCUUAUAC